GUCUACAGUCAUACCACCCUGAACACACCUGACCUUGUCUGACCUAGAAAGCUAAGCAGGGUUGGGCCUUGUUAAUC
rnacentral:rRNA from 1 species